ensembl:lncRNA
UAUACGUACGUACGUACAUACAUACAUAUUUAUAUAAUUAGACCCCCCCCCACACACACACACACAUUGUGCCUCUUGAAUGCAGUGACAGGAAGAAGUUUCGGUGAUAAGGAUUUCAGAAGCGGCCUGGAGAAUGGCAUUCUGCUCUGCGAGUUGCUGAGUUCAAUCAAACCAGGCCUUGUGAAAAAGAUCAACAGACUUCCAGCACCCAUUGCAGGACUGGAUAAUCUGACCAUGUUUCUGAGAGGAUGCGAAGAGCUGGGAUUGAAGGGAUCACAGCUGUUCGAUCCUGGAGACCUGCAGGAUACGUCGAUACGAGCAAACUUAACGGGCUCUGACUGCAGUAGAAAGCUGAAGAAUGUGCUCAUAACCAUAUACUGGCUUGGUAAAGCUGCUAACAGCUGUACAACAUAUAACGGCCCCACACUCGACCUGAAAGAGUUUGAGGGGCUUCUUUCCAUGAUGCGAAAGGAGUGUGUAAAUGAAGAGUUAGACUCCCCUAAGCGCAGUAUAAGGGACAGCGGUUACAUUGACAGCUGGGAAUCGGAGCGUUCUGAUUCGCUGUCUCCUCCGAGGCACGGCCGCGAAGAUUCGUUUGACAGUCUCGACUCGUUUGGCUCACGAUCACAGAACACACCCUCACCAGACACCGUUAUUCGCUGCAACAGUGAUGACUCUGAAGGUGACGCUGGUCAAAGGAAGUUGCCAGACGUGCGCAAGGAUGACAUGUCUGCCCGUCGCGUGUCCUACAAAGAGCCUCGCGCAGCUCUGCCCUUUAAUCAGUAUCUGCCGAACAAAAGCAACCAAACCAACUACAUUCCUGCCCCCCUGAGGAAGAGGAGGAGCGAGAGAGAGGAAGACUGGAGGAGUCUAAGCAACUCAACGUCUCCUGUAGGAGGAGAAAGACCUCUCAGGAGUGUGAGUUUGAUUGACAUGCGUGAUGAAGAGGAUGAGCUGGCCUACCAUCAGCCGCACAGCCAAUCACGACAUGAGCACCUACACAACCAGUACAACAAACUCCGAGAGGAGGAGGACCAGUGGCAGGACGACUUGGCUCGCUGGAAGAAUCGGAGGCGAAGUGCAUCUCAAGAUUUGAUCAAAAAGGAAGAAGAGAGGAAGAUGAUGGAGAAGCUAAUGUCAACAGAUGGAGGACCCGGUCAUCGCCGGAAGAGCAUCAAGACAUACAAAGAAAUUGUUGAGGAAAAGGAACGUAGGGAACAGGAGCUACAUGAACAAUACUGUAAAGCCUCCACUCCAGAAGAAAAGGCAGCUGUGCUUCAACGCUAUGCUCUCCGUUUCACCAUCAGUGAUGCCAUAUUGGAGAAACUCCAGCUCCCCAAGCUGCCUUCUCCUGAGAAGAAACUGACCUGCACCACCUUAGCAGAAGCAGAGGAUCUAGAGCCUGAACAAACUACCCAAACACACCACAGUGUCCAUGUAUAUGAGAAGACUACACAAAAACAGGCACCGGCACAGCCCGAAACCCCUGAGCCAUCAUGUGAUGAAUCCACCAAAGCUCCAAAAGUCCUGUCAGUGCCUACACAAGUUCCUCCCGCCCCCUCGAAGCCUGUACCCAUGAUCACCCCAAAACCCUACAGCCAGCCCAAAUUCAGCCAAGGCCUCUGCAAAUCAAUGAAGAGCGAUGGGCUGAUGCGUGUGAACGGUGACAGGACUCAGCAAGAGAACAGAGAGAGGGACGAUAAAGAUUCUGUGUCGUGUCUUCAAGUCAACUUAUCUUCCGCACCUCCAAAUCCAGCCACUCAAAGCCAACAAAAUGAGGAGCUAAUUGCUUUAGAAGUUUCAGACCACCAGCAAAGCUCACAGACUUCCGUUUCUGACCAGGAGAAAGAAGUGCAUCCUGUCUUCUUACCUUCCUUUCCCUUUUCCUUUCUGUUUCUGUUUCUCUCUCUCUGUGUGUGUGUGUGUGUGUGUGUGUGUGUGUGUGUGUGUGUGUGUGUGUGUGUGUGUGCGCGCGUGUAUGUGUGUGUCUGUGUGUGUGUGUGUGUGUGUGUGUGUGUGUUUGUGUAUGUGUGUGUGUGUGUGUGUGUGUGUUUGUGUAUGCACGUGAAUCAGAUUGAAACCCCAAUGUUGAACCUUGCAAAAAGGGUUGACCACUGGACAUGGGAUCCUAAUGAAGAGCGUAGACGGCAGGAGAGGUGGCAACAGGAGCAGGAACGCCUGCUGCAGGAGAAAUAUCAGCGAGAGCAAGAGAAGCUGAAGGAGGAGUGGGAGAGAGCGCAGAGAGAAGUGGAAGAGGAGGAGAGGAGACACCAUGAAGAGGAAAGACAGAUACUGGAGGAAACCGUGACCCCACUGACCCCUCGCACCUCAGGUUUAUCAUCCAGUGUGGUGACAGAAGCUCCGUCCCUCACCCAGCCCUCAGCCCCACGUGACACCAUUGUCCUCUCCUUGGCUGACUGGGAAAGAAAACAGGAAGUGCUGGAGAAACAGGAAGUGCCGGAGAAACAGGAAGUGCUGGAGAAACAGGAGAACCAGAGUAACAGACACAGUUUCAUUAGACAUGAAUAUAUGGUUUUGUAUGGCGCCCUCUGCAGGUCAGUAAGUGGAAAGAAGCUUUGCUCCAGUUGUGCACAUCCGCUGGGUAAAGGAGCAGCCAUGAUCAUUGAAAGCUUGGGGUUGUACUUCCAUAUUCAGUGUUUUAAGUGUGGCAUAUGUAAAGGGUUACUGGGCGACUCAAGUGCUGGAACUGACGUCAGAAUUCGAAAUGGACUUCUUAACUGUCAAGAAUGCUACAUAAAAUCAAGGGCUGCUGGCCAGCCAACAACAUUGUGAUGCCUCUGCACUUCUGACAACUGAAAUCUUAAACCAACCCAGGACCAUAACCAACAACAAAUAUGUUUAUUCAAAGUUUCCAACAGCACAAUCAAGCAUAGACAUUAAUGUAAUUAAAUGGAUUAAAUGGAUUAAAUGGAUGAUGGCUUUUCCUCUGGACUUUAUUUGACUGUCUUUGCACUCGCUGAAAUAUGACCUUAUCGCUUACACGAUAAAGAGUCCAUAGAAUAUUACAGCGAUUACAGCAGUUUGUUCAUACUGUUAGAAUAAGAAGUACUGGUAGCACUUUACCUCACAGUGCCCAUGUUACACACAUUUCAAUAGCGAUAAGGCCUGAAAACGCUUCACGCAAAUAAAGAUGUGCUUUCUUGCA